rnacentral:rRNA from 1 species
CUUACACCUGAAAAAUGUCUGAUAAUACCAGAUCGUCUUGAUGCCAAACUCUAGCCCAAUCGACAUGACCUGGAAUAACAAAGCUACUACACAUACCCAACUAAAGCAUUUAUCAGUCCCAGUAUAGGCGAUAGAAAAGACACCAUUGGAGCGAUAGAGACCACGUACCGUAAGGGAAAGAUGAAAUAUUAGUGAAAUAAACUAAGCUAAAAACAGCAAAGAUCAACCCUUGUACCUUUUGCAUCAUGGUCUAGCAAGAAAAACCAAGCAAAAUGAAUUUAAGUUUGCCAUCCCGAAACCCAAGCGAGCUACCUAUGAGCAGCUAUUUUGAGCGAACCCGUCUCUGUGGCAAAAGAGUGGGAUGACUUGUUGGUAGAGGUGAAAAGCCAAUCGAGCUGGGUGAUAGCUGGUUGCCUGUGAAACGAAUCUUAGUUCACUCUUAAUUCUUCUCCAAGGAAACACACAAACCCUAAUGAAGCGAAUUAAGGGCAAUUUAAAGGGGGUACAGCUCCUUUAAAAAAGAAUACAAUCUCUACGAGCGGAUAAAUAAUAGUCUACUAAUCAUACUGUGGGCCCUCAAGCAGCCAUCAACAAAGAGUGCGUUAAAGCUCUACUCCUCAAAAAUAUAAAAACAAUAUGACUCCCUCAUCAUUAACAGGCUAACCUAUAUUUAAAUAGGAGAAUUAAUGCUAGAAUGAGUAACCUGGGUCCUCCCUCUACGACGCAAGCUUACAUCGGCACAUUAUUAACAAGUUACCAAUAUACGAAAAAUCAAACAAGCAGAGUAUUAAGCACAUUGUUAACCCGACAGAGGAGCGUCC